GCCGAUCCGCAGAGGUUCGUCUGCACAAUCCUAUAUCAGUCUUAAUGAUGAAGGUGUUUUUGGUAGUAGCUUUAUGCAUCUCAGCUAUUGUGAUUGGCUGUAAUGCCAAGUGUCACCAUGAGGACACAAAUUCGUGUUCGAUCACGUGUUCUAACCCUCUUGUGAUUGGCUGCGUGAAUGAGCAAUGCCAAUGUGUAGAGACCUGCACACAGACGUCUGACUGUAGAAGACUUGGUGAAUGCA